GAUUAACGCUGGCGGCGUGCAUAACACAUGCAAGUCGAACGAUGAAACUUUAAUGAACCCUUCGGGGAGAAUUAAAGCGGAUUAGUGGCGAACGGGUGAGUAACGCGUGAGUAACCUGCCUUACACAAGGGGAUAGCCUUUGGAAACGAAGAAUAAUACCCUAUAAAACCAUAAAAGCACAUGCAAUUAUGGUCAAAGUGAUAGCGGUGUAAGAUGGACUUGCGUCUGAUUAGCUAGUUGGUGAGAUAAAAGCCCACCAAGGCAACGAUCAGUAGCCGGCUUGAGAGAGUGUACGGCCACAUUGGGACUGAGACACGGCCCAGACUCCUACGGGAGGCAGCAGUGGGGAAUUUGGCACAAUGGGGGAAACCCUGAUGCAGCGACGCCGCGUGAUUUAGAAGGCCUUCGGGUUGUAAAAAUCUUUUGUAUAGGAAGAAAAUGACAGUACUAUACGAAUAAGGUCCGGCUAAUUACGUG
rnacentral:rRNA from 1 species